rnacentral:rRNA from 1 species
CAGUCGCCGCGGGAAUACGUAUGUCACAAGCGUUAUCCGGAUUUAUUGGGCGUAAAGCGCGUCUAGGUGGUUACGUAAGUCUGAUGUGAAAAUGCAGGGCUCAACUCUGUAUUGCGUUGGAAACUGUGUAACUAGAGUACUGGAGAGGUAAGCGGAACUACAAGUGUAGAGGUGAAAUUCGUAGAUAUUUGUAGGAACGCCGAUGGGGAAGCCAGCUUACUGGACAGAUACUGACGCUGAAGCGCGAAAGCGUGGGUAGCAAACAGGAUUAGAUACCCCGGUAGUCCCUGUCUCUUAUACA